AUAGAAAUUUUAAAUUUCUAUAAUAUGUUUUCAAAACAUAAACUUAUUCAAGAUCAUUAAUUAUUAAUUGAAAUAUAAUAAAGUUAUGUUCUAUUAAAAAUAAAAUUU